UACGUAGGGGGCGAGCGUUAUCCGGAUUUACUGGGCGUAAAGCGCGUUUAGGCGGUCGGCAAAGUUGGUUGUGAAAUUUCAGGGCUCAACCCUGAAACUGCGUCCAAUACUGGUCGACUUGAGUGCGAGAGAGGAAGGUGGAAUUCCCGGUGUAGUAGUGAAAUGCGUAGAUAUCGGGAGGAACACCAGUGGCGAAGGCGGCCUUCUGGCUCGAUACUGACGCUGUAGCGCGAAAGCGUGGGGAGCGAACGGG
rnacentral:rRNA from 1 species